GGAAUCCUUGCCUCAGGUUCUGUUUCCAGGGAAAUGGAUUAAAAGAGGCAUCUUUGAAUUCUCAUCUUCUGCAGACUCUAAGGAUGUCUUACUGUGCUCUUAUACUGACCGGCAGAAAAUGAGAUCUCGGCAAAUCCUGACUGGGGAGAAGCUGAGUGAGGUUGCAGGGAUCUUAUUCUUCUGAUCAUCCCACUGAAUUUCAAAUUAGUGCACAACGCUGAUGUGUUCAUUGGACCUGGUAAACAUGAGGCAAG